AACGAACGCUGGCGGCGCGCCUAAUACAUGCAAGUCGAGCGAGAAGACGUAGCAAUACGUUUGUAAAGCGGCGAACGGGUGAGGAAUACAUGGGUAACCUACCCUCGAGUGGGGAAUAACUAGCCGAAAGGUUAGCUAAUACCGCGUACGCUCCUUGGACUUCGGUUCAGGGAGGAAAGCGAUACCGUGGGUAUCGCGCUCUUGGAUGGGCUCAUGUCCUAUCAGCUUGUUGGUGAGGAACGGCUCACCAAGGCUUCGACGGGUAGCUGGUCUGAGAGGACGAUCAGCCACACUGGCACUGCGACACGGGCCAGACUCCUACGGGAGGCAGCAGUAAGGAAUAUUGCGCAAUGGGCGAAAGCCUGACGCAGCGACGCCGCGUGGGGGAUGACGGCCU
rnacentral:rRNA from 1 species